GACGAACGCUGGCGGCGUGCUUAACACAUGCAAGUCGAACGGAAAGGCCCUGCUUUUGUUGGGUGCUCGAGUGGCGAACGGGUGAGUAACACGUGAGUAACCUGCCCUUGACUUUGGGAUAACUUCAGGAAACUGGGGCUAAUACCGGAUAGGAGCUCCUGCUUCAUGGUGGGGGUUGGAAAGUUUCGGCGGUUGGGGAUGGACUCGCGGCUUAUCAGCUUGUUGGUGGGGUAGUGGCUUACCACGGCUUUGACGGGUAGCCGGCCUGAGAGGGUGACCGGCCACAUUGGGCCUGAGAUACGGCCCAGACUCCUACGGGAGGCAGCAGUGGGGAAUAUUGCACAAUGGGCGGAAGCCUGAUGCAGCAACGCCGCGUGCGGGAUGACGGCCUUCGGGUUGUAAACCGCUUUCGCCUGUGACGAAGCGUGAGUGACGGUAAUGGGUAAAGAAGCACCGGCUAACUACGUG
rnacentral:rRNA from 1 species